rnacentral:tRNA from 1 species
GGGUAUGUGACCGCAGCGAUUGGAAGUGUGGUGACAAGGAAUCAUAAGACCGACUGAGGUUCGAAUCCUCAGAUACCCA